rnacentral:rRNA from 1 species
GGGUUGUGAGGUUAAGCGACUAAGCGUACACGGUGGAUGCCCUGGCAGUCAGAGGCGAUGAAGGACGUGCUAAUCUGCGAUAAGCGUCGGUAAGGUGAUAUGAACCGUUAUAACCGGCGAUUUCCGAAUGGGGAAACCCAGUGUGAUUCGUCACACUAUCAUUAACUGAAUCCAUAGGUUAAUGAGGCGAACCGGGGGAACUGAAACAUCUAAGUACCCCGAGGAAAAGAAAUCAACCGAGAUUCCCCCAGUAGCGGCGAGCGAACGGGGAGCAGCCCAGAGCCUGAAUCAGUGUGUGUGUUAGUGGAAGCGUCUGGAAAGGCGCGCGAUACAGGGUGACAGCCCCGUACACAAAAAUGCACAUGCUGUGAGCUCGAUGAGUAGGGCGGGACACGUGGUAUCCUGUCUGAAUAUGGGGGGACCAUCCUCCAAGGCUAAAUACUCCUGACUGACCGAUAGUGAACCAGUACCGUGAGGGAAAGGCGAAAAGAACCCCGGCGAGGGGAGUGAAAAAGAACCUGAAACCGUGUACGUACAAGCAGUGGGAGCACGCUUAGGCGUGUGACUGCGUACCUUUUGUAUAAUGGGUCAGCGACUUAUAUUCUGUAGCAAGGUUAACCGAAUAGGGGAGCCGAAGGGAAACCGAGUCUUAACUGGGCGUUAAGUUGCAGGGUAUAGACCCGAAACCCGGUGAUCUAGCCAUGGGCAGGUUGAAGGUUGGGUAACACUAACUGGAGGACCGAACCGACUAAUGUUGAAAAAUUAGCGGAUGACUUGUGGCUGGGGGUGAAAGGCCAAUCAAACCGGGAGAUAGCUGGUUCUCCCCGAAAGCUAUUUAGGUAGCGCCUCGUGAAUUCAUCUCCGGGGGUAGAGCACUGUUUCGGCAAGGGGGUCAUCCCGACUUACCAACCCGAUGCAAACUGCGAAUACCGGAGAAUGUUAUCACGGGAGACACACGGCGGGUGCUAACGUCCGUCGUGAAGAGGGAAACAACCCAGACCGCCAGCUAAGGUCCCAAAGUCAUGGUUAAGUGGGAAACGAUGUGGGAAGGCCCAGACAGCCAGGAUGUUGGCUUAGAAGCAGCCAUCAUUUAAAGAAAGCGUAAUAGCUCACUGGUCGAGUCGGCCUGCGCGGAAGAUGUAACGGGGCUAAACCAUGCACCGAAGCUGCGGCAGCGACGCUGAUGCGUUGUUGGGUAGGGGAGCGUUCUGUAAGCCUGCGAAGGUGUGCUGUGAGGCAUGCUGGAGGUAUCAGAAGUGCGAAUGCUGACAUAAGUAACGAUAAAGCGGGUGAAAAGCCCGCUCGCCGGAAGACCAAGGGUUCCUGUCCAACGUUAAUCGGGGCAGGGUGAGUCGACCCCUAAGGCGAGGCCGAAAGGCGUAGUCGAUGGGAAACAGGUUAAUAUUCCUGUACUUGGUGUUACUGCGAAGGGGGGACGGAGAAGGCUAUGUUGGCCGGGCGACGGUUGUCCCGGUUUAAGCGUGUAGGCUGGUUUUCCAGGCAAAUCCGGAAAAUCAAGGCUGAGGCGUGAUGACGAGGCACUACGGUGCUGAAGCAACAAAUGCCCUGCUUCCAGGAAAAGCCUCUAAGCAUCAGGUAACAUCAAAUCGUACCCCAAACCGACACAGGUGGUCAGGUAGAGAAUACCAAGGCGCUUGAGAGAACUCGGGUGAAGGAACUAGGCAAAAUGGUGCCGUAACUUCGGGAGAAGGCACGCUGAUAUGUAGGUGAAGCGACUUGCUCGUGGAGCUGAAAUCAGUCGAAGAUACCAGCUGGCUGCAACUGUUUAUUAAAAACACAGCACUGUGCAAACACGAAAGUGGACGUAUACGGUGUGACGCCUGCCCGGUGCCGGAAGGUUAAUUGAUGGGGUUAGCGCAAGCGAAGCUCUUGAUCGAAGCCCCGGUAAACGGCGGCCGUAACUAUAACGGUCCUAAGGUAGCGAAAUUCCUUGUCGGGUAAGUUCCGACCUGCACGAAUGGCGUAAUGAUGGCCAGGCUGUCUCCACCCGAGACUCAGUGAAAUUGAACUCGCUGUGAAGAUGCAGUGUACCCGCGGCAAGACGGAAAGACCCCGUGAACCUUUACUAUAGCUUGACACUGAACAUUGAGCCUUGAUGUGUAGGAUAGGUGGGAGGCUUUGAAGUGUGGACGCCAGUCUGCAUGGAGCCGGCCUUGAAAUACCACCCUUUAAUGUUUGAUGUUCUAACGUUGACCCGUAAUCCGGGUUGCGGACAGUGUCUGGUGGGUAGUUUGACUGGGGCGGUCUCCUCCUAAAGAGUAACGGAGGAGCACGAAGGUUGGCUAAUCCUGGUCGGACAUCAGGAGGUUAGUGCAAUGGCAUAAGCCAGCUUGACUGCGAGCGUGACGGCGCGAGCAGGUGCGAAAGCAGGUCAUAGUGAUCCGGUGGUUCUGAAUGGAAGGGCCAUCGCUCAACGGAUAAAAGGUACUCCGGGGAUAACAGGCUGAUACCGCCCAAGAGUUCAUAUCGACGGCGGUGUUUGGCACCUCGAUGUCGGCUCAUCACAUCCUGGGGCUGAAGUAGGUCCCAAGGGUAUGGCUGUUCGCCAUUUAAAGUGGUACGCGAGCUGGGUUUAGAACGUCGUGAGACAGUUCGGUCCCUAUCUGCCGUGGGCGCUGGAGAACUGAGGGGGGCUGCUCCUAGUACGAGAGGACCGGAGUGGACGCAUCACUGGUGUUCGGGUUGUCAUGCCAAUGGCACUGCCCGGUAGCUAAAUGCGGAAGAGAUAAGUGCUGAAAGCAUCUAAGCACGAAACUUGCCCCGAGAUGAGUUCUCCCUGACUCCUUGAGGGUCCUGAAGGAACGUUGAAGACGACGACGUUGAUAGGCCGGGUGUGUAAGCGCAGCGAUGCGUUGAGCUAACCGGUACUAAUGAACCGUGAGGCUUAACCUUACAACGCCGAAGGUGUUU